GACGAACGCUGGCGGCGUGCUUAACACAUGCAAGUCGAACGGAAAGGCCCUGCUUUUGUGGGGUGCUCGAGUGGCGAACGGGUGAGUAACACGUGAGUAACCUGCCCUUGACUUUGGGAUAACUUCAGGAAACUGGGGCUAAUACCGGAUAGGAGCUCCUGCUGCAUGGUGGGGGUUGGAAAGUUUCGGCGGUUGGGGAUGGACUCGCGGCUUAUCAGCUUGUUGGUGGGGUAGUGGCUUACCAAGGCUUUGGCGGGUAGCCGGCCUGAGAGGGUGACCGGCCACAUUGGAACUACGAUACGGCCCAGACUCCUACGGGGAGCAGCAGUGACGAAUAUUGCACAAUGGGCGGGAGCCUGAUGCAGCAACGCCGCGUGCGGGAUGACGGCCUUCGGGUUGUAAACCGCUUUCGCCUGUGACGAAGCGUGAGUGACGGUAAUGGGUAAAGAAGCACCGGCUAACUACGUG
rnacentral:rRNA from 1 species